rnacentral:misc_RNA from 1 species
AUGAGGGGUGAAGCGUUGAAGGUAGGCCUAACAAAUAGGCUUAGUGUACUACCAUGCACUACGUUUGUUUUGUAAGAUAAAGAAGAAAAUUAUUCAUUUUGAGAUAUUAUUUUUCAAAUCUUAGCUCGUAUAAUAACAAGUAGGAAGUUUAGUAUGGUUGUGGAAUUAGAAGAUUAUGCAUCUGUCGCCUUAACGUCACAAGAACUUGGAAUUUUGGCAGACAUUGAUAGCCGACAUUUUGGUUUUCUAAAACUUAAUCUCCCUGAAAAUGUAAAAAGGAAAGCAUUAAUAAACAAGGCAGUGAAAUACUUGGAACGGGUUUUAAUACAUCAUCACCAGUUCAAGGAAAAAGAACGACUGCUUGCUAACAAACAGCAAAAUGCCAAACAAGAGGGGGGAAAAGUACCUGGACAACCUGAUCAAAAGAAUGAACAGACAAUUUCAAAAGCAAAAGAGUUAGAUCCUCGAACAUAUUGUAAACUAGGUCAUUUUCUGCUUUUGCUUGAAGAUUAUGCCAAAGCUAUGUCUGCAUAUCAAAAGUUCUACGCUUCAAAAGAAGAUCAUUGGAAGGAUGCUCCUUUUCUUUAUGGACUAGGUCUUGUGUACUUUCAUUUUAAUGCCUACCAGUGGUCAAUCAAAGCAUUUCGACAAGUUCUGUACAUUGACCCAAGUUUUAUACGUGCAAAUGAAAUACACCUUAGACUUGGGUUAAUGUUUAAAGUUAUAGCUGAUCAUGAAUCAUCUUUAAAGCAUUUACGGUUAGCAUAUAUUGAUUCAAGUCCCUGCACAUUUUCCAAAGCAGAAAUUAGUUUUCAUAUUGCCCAUUCAUACGAGAUUCAGGGCAAAUAUAAAAUUGCAAAAGAAGCCUAUGAAAAAAUACUAGAACAGAAGGAUAUUCCUCAACACCUUCGAGCUGAGACUUGGAAACAAUUAGGCUGGAUGCAUCAUACAGUUGAAGCUCUUGGAGAAAAACCUCAACGUCAAGCAUAUGCCUUACAUUGUCUUCAGAAGUCCAUUGAGGCAGAUUCAUCAUGUGGUCAGAGCUUGUAUUUUCUGGGUCGGUGCUUUGCCAGUAUUGGGAAGGUUCAUGAUGCUUUUCUUUCGUAUCGGAAAUCUGUGGAUAAAGCUGAACCUAAUGCUGAUACUUGGUGCUCAAUAGGGGUGCUCUAUCAACAACAGAACCAGCCAAUGGAUGCUCUUCAGGCCUACAUCUGUGCAGUUCAAUUGGACAAAGAACACACUCCAGCCUGGACAAAUCUGGGAAUCCUCUAUGAAAAUUGUAACCAACCUCAGGAUGCUCUCAAGUGUUAUGUUAAUGCUGGCAGAGGAAGAGGGUCUCUCAACCACAAUUUGAUAGCACGAAUACAGUUUCUCCGAACCCAGCUAGCUAAUAUUCCACAAACUGGCUUGCAUAAACCCAACCAGCUGCCUUGCAUUGAAGAUGCAUGGAACAUUCCAAUAUCUCAGGAAAUGGCAUCUCGGCAAACUAAUGCUCAACAGCAGGUCAGGAUGGCAGCAGCACCACAUCAAAAACAGCCUGUUUGUGCUGCUUCAACUCUCUCAAUUUCUUCACAAUUAUCUCAAACUCAACCAUCAGCACCUGGAACUUUUUCUCAGAAUGGUGUUGUAGUAAUUCCUGGUUCCCAGACUGAUCAGCAAAGUGGAUUGUCUGCCAAAAGGGUAAAGCUGAGCUCUGGUUCACCCCGAAAUAUGGAAAACAUGACUCCCCAGCAAAGAGCAAUUUUUCAGCAGUUACAGCAUCAACAACGUCUGAUGCAACUGCAGGAUCAAAAGCAACAACAGACAUUGCUGUUGCAACAUGGGCAGCAGGCACCUACAGGCCAGCCACCUGUUGCCAUGCCUGGAGUUCUUGGGCCUCAGAAUGCUGGAAUAGUCACAACCUUGACAGGAAUCCUUGGACCUCAGACUGCUGGGACAGUCACAACCAUGCCCCAGGGAAUACCUGCUGCUGGUUAUCUACCACAACCAGCUACUCUCUCAGGAGUAACAAACACUGUAGUACGUCCAAUAAGGACAGUGGCCCCCAAUUCUUCCCAGUUUAUUCCCCAGCAAAGCUUGUCUUCACGGCUUGAAGGAGCUAAUGAGAGAACUUUACUUAGUGGAUACCCUCAGGAUCCACAGACUGUUGACACAGGCUUGACUAUUGGCUCUAUCCAGCCAAAUGUCUCCUCAAACCAUUUACUUACUAAAGCAGCAACUCCACAGACUACAGAAUCAUCCACUGUAAAUCCUACUGUACAAAUUUCCCAGUCUUCUGUUCCAACGGGAUUCCAGGCUCAGUACCAGUCUAGGCCAAGUUUGGGAGCCACCCAGAAUGGUACAUUAUUAAGUGGUGGCAUCUCCAUGACUACUGAUUCCUUCAGUGACCAAGAUCUUGAAGCUCUUCUUUCUCAAAAAGAGGUCAGCCUACCAGAUGAUCUUCUUACUGAGAUAGCUGGGGAUAUAUCAGCUAGUGUUAAUCAAACCACAGAGAGUUCAUAUCUUCCAAUCUCUAGUCAGGCUGCAGUUCUUGGAGCUGAAACACAAGUCCAUCUCCAAAAACUUGAAGCUGAUGGUAACAGAGUUUCUAGUUUUGUAAGUGCAGGAAACAUUUCUACACAGAAGGAUGUACCUAAAGGACAGAUUCAACCUGAAGUUUUACCAAUAGGAGCUGUAAAUGAGGCUUCACAACCUGUAAAAUCUACUCAGAUGCUUGGGUCUGAUGCUAAAGCCUCUAAAUGGUUGUCAUCCAGCAGUCUUCCAGCAUCUAGUUUGAAAGUGAAACAGUCACAAGAGACUGUGGAAGAAAAGUCUUCUCAUCAAAGUCCUACUUCCUUAUCUAUAAAUAUGAGCUCCUCUCAGUUACUCUCAGCAUGCAAAGGACUUUCCAAAAAUGGCGUGUCAAAUACAAGUAUCAUGUCUGAGCUUUGUCCUCCUCCAUCUCCUCCUGAUCCUCCUUAUCCACCAUUGUCCAAAGACAAGCUUUUACCUCAGACCCCAAGUGUUUAUUUGGAAAACAAGAAGGAUGCCUUUUCAUCACAGUUGCAAGAAUUCUGCCUUGUUCAUCCCAUAACUGUGAUUCGUAACUUAGCCAACGUGCUCAAGCUGGACUUGGGAUUGUUUUCUACCAAAACACUUGUUGAGGCUAAUCCAACUCAAAAUGUGGAAGUUAGAACACAGUUGGUUCAGCCAUCAGAUGAAAACUGGGAUACAGAGAGAAGGAGACAGAUUUGGAAAUGUGAGAGUCACCGGUCACAUACGACCAUAGCUAGAUAUGCACAGUACCAAGCUUCCUCUUUUCAGGAGUCUCUCAGGGAAGAACAAGAAAAGGUUCAAACUGGUCACAGGGAAUCUGACAGUGAUUCUAACUCCUCGUAUCCAUCAUGGGUUAAGAAAGGAAAGAAGAAUGGCUUAUUUAAGACAAUCAAAUUUGGAACAAAUGUUGACCUCUCAGAUGAGAAAAAAUGGAAACCACAGCUCCAGGAACUUGCAAAAUUGCCAUCAUUUGCUAGGGUUGUAUCAGCUGGAAACAUGCUGAGCCAUGUAGGUCACACGAUUUUGGGAAUGAACACAGUUCAAUUGUACAUGAAGGUCCCUGGAAGUCGAACACCAGGCCAUCAGGAAAAUAAUAAUUUUUGCUCUGUCAACAUUAAUAUUGGACCAGGUGAUUGUGAGUGGUUUGCUGUCCCAGAACCGUACUGGGGGGCCAUUCAUAACCUGUGUGAAAAAAACAACAUCAACUACCUCCAUGGGUCCUGGUGGCCUCUAAUGGAUGACCUUUUUGCUGAGAAUAUCCCUUUAUAUAGGUUUCUGCAGCGACCAGGAGACAUGGUGUGGGUCAAAGCCGGAACUGUACACUGGGUGCAAGCGGUGGGCUGGUGUAACAAUAUAGCCUGGAAUAUUGGCCCUUUGACUGCAGAACAGUAUCAGCUAGCUGUAGAAAGAUAUGAAUGGAACAAACUUCAGGGGUAUAAGUCAAUUGUACCCAUGGCUCAUCUCACUUGGAACCUGGCAAGGAAUAUUAAAGUCUCUGACCAAAAACUGUUUGAACAGAUUAAAUACUGUCUGCUGAGGACCCUUAGGAUGAGUCAACUGACAGUAGACUUUGUAAAGAGUUUAGGAAAAAACAUUAGAUGGCAUGGUCGUGGAAAGAAUGAAGCUGCUCACUACUGUGUGAAUUGUGAAGUUGAAGUCUUCAACAUCCUAUUUGUCAGAGAAGUGGAAAAUAAACAUGUUGUUCACUGCUUGGACUGUGCUCGGAAAACCAGCCCCAAACUGGAUAAUUUUGUAAUCUUAGAAGAAUAUACCAUGGAGGAUUUGAUGGAGGUAUAUGAUAAUUAUGUCCUCCAUCUGUUACCAGCAGUUUCCAGUGGGAUGUCGUGAUCUCAAGUUGCUUCAGAUGUUUCCGAUGAAAUAUACUAAGCUUAAGGAAAAGCAUUGUUCUGUAUUUGGAAGAAAAUUUCAUUAAAGAAGAGAAUAAAGAUACAGAAACUUGAUAUUCUGGUCGGUAACCACAAAGAUUAAUACAACUGCUUUAAACCAGAUCUGUAAUUAGAUUGUUGAUCCAAGUUUUUUGUUUUAUUGUAUACUUUAUGUAGUCUUUAUCGAUUUUAAAGUUAAAGAAAGCAUUAUUGAAUGAUGGAGGAUAAUAAAAGGCUUGUUUUAAAGUUGCAUUGCAUCGGAAAUGACAGGCCAUAAAUAGAGGUUUCUAUUGAACUUGUGGCCAGUUUUUCUCUUUGCACAACCUUGUUAUUUGUCAUAAAUUACUGCCAUAAUGAAUGUAUUAGACCAUUU